GGACGAACGCUGGCAGCGUGCUUAACACAUGCAAGUCGAGCGGUAAGGCCCUUUACGGGGGUACGACGAGCGGCGAACGGGUGAGUAACACGUGGGUGACCUGCCCUCAGCUCUGGGAUAAGGCCCGGGAAACUGGGUCUAAUACCGGAUAUGACUCCACGGUGCAUGUACGUGGGGGUGAAAGCCUUGUGCGGCUGAGGAUGGGCCCGCGGCCUAUCAGCUUGUUGGU
rnacentral:rRNA from 1 species